UACGAAGGGGGCUAGCGUUGUUCGGAUUUACUGGGCGUAAAGCGCACGUAGGCGGAUCGUUAAGUCGGGGGUGAAAUCCUGGAGCUCAACUCCAGAACUGCCUUCGAUACUGGCGAUCUUGAGUCCGGAAGAGGUGAGUGGAAUUCCGAGUGUAGAGGUGAAAUUCGUAGAUAUUCGGAGGAACACCAGUGGCGAAGGCGGCUCACUGGUCCGGUACUGACGCUGAGGUGCGAAAGCGUGGGGAGCAACAGG
rnacentral:rRNA from 1 species